UACAUCCUGCGGUGUGCGUUACGGCUUAUAACUUGUUUUGAACCAAUGGCUGUUUUUAGGGAGACUAAUAUUGAAACGCGGCUGACAAGCCCUCGAAAAGGGAUCUCAAAAACGUUUCUGCGGCCACCCACCUGCGAGAGCGGGUUCAGAAACAAGCUAGUCGGACGGCAUGGCGGGUAACUU
rnacentral:other from 1 species